ensembl:lncRNA
AUGAAGAACUCACUUAUAUUCAGUCUUUGUCUGAAUUUCACUGCCAGUUCUAAUAAGAGUUUACUUGUUGACAUUUUAGGUUUAAAAAGCCCAACAAGCUGGGUGAAUGAAUUCAGAGGUAACAUAUUUUCUGACUGCAUGUGUGAGCGUGCAUGCAUAUAUGUCUUAAGUAGUAGAAGAGCACCAAUAAGACAUCUUCAGUUUUACUUAACGUCUCCAAGUUUUGAAUUUUUGUUUCAUUCCAAGACAGCAUGA